AUUCCGGUGACCGGUGUCGGUCCAGAUAAUUUAGGGGAUUAGAACCACACUUAAGAUAACUAGAUAAGCCCUAAACACAAAUAAUUAGUAAUUGUCAAUUAGUUAAGUAUAAAUAAGAAAAACAUAAUACAAGAAGUUAAAUGAGCCGAGAGUCACAGCGACGGGUGACCUUAUCGGGAAGGACUGCGGGGUCGAUUUAAACUUAAAUUUCGAAUCGUAAAAUGUGACGCUGCGGUCCUUAGGACUAUUGCGAACACAGUGGAAAAGAGAAAAUAAUGAAAAAGAAUUGUUAAGUCGGUCAAAUAAUUAGGUCAGGGAUCUGAAAGAAAUAUUGAAUUAUUUAUAAAUCGGGUUGAACAGGCGAGGGGUAAUUUUGUCAAUUGACCUCUGAAGCUGACUCCUGACCUAACUAUCAAAUAAAAUCGGAGAAAAGAAAAUUUCAGAAUCAGGAAUUAAAUUAAAGAACUAAAGAAAAAUAAAUGAAAAAAAAAAGAAAAAGAAAAGUUGAAAAAGUGAAAAGAUUUGUUAUAUCAUGCAUGACAUUAUGCAUGAUACAAUAAACUUAAUAAUUAAAUUUUUUGAAAUUAUCAUUGGAUAAUUGUAAAUUAAAUUAAUUUAAAAACACAUAAAAGAAAAUGGACUUAUAACAUCAUGUGUGUGACAUCAUGCAUGACAUCAAUUGAUUUUUAAUUUAUUUAAAUUUUUUUUUCUUUUUUGACCAAGUCAAUUAUGUGGAAUAAAAACAAAAAUUAAAAAGAUUUUUUUUUUUUUUACUUUUUCUUCUUCUCCUUGCCGUGGCACUCCUUCCCUCUCCCUUUCUCUCACAAACCUCCAUGGAAGCUUAAUUUUAAGCUUCUUAAACCCCAAAAUUUCCUAUAAAUUCCCCAAGAUUUUUUAUUAAAACUUGCUAUUACCACUUGACAAGAAGAUUGAAGAAGAAAGAAGAGGAGAAAAUUUAGAAAAGUAAGAGGUUGGGAAGAUUCAUUCAAGCUGAAAAAGACUCGGAAGGUCUGAGAGACUGAGUCAAGGCCUAGAGGCGACUCACGUCAGAUUUGUGCACAAUAAACCUUAUUUGAGCCUUUUGUCAUUGAAAAAUUGAUUUAAUAUGAUUUAUGAAAAUUUGAUGUUCAUUAUGAAUUGUGUUGCCACUUUGUGAAUGAAACUAUGACUUUGUAAAUUUACCGGAUUUCUCAUGAAUUAUUUGAAUAAAAUGUUUGAAAUAGAUUUUUUAUUCA